rnacentral:rRNA from 1 species
UGGGGAAUAUUGGACAAUGGGGGCAACCCUGAUCCAGCCAUGCCGCGUGAGUGAUGAAGGCCCUCGGGUUGUAAACUGCUUUUGGACGGAACGAAAAGCCGCUUUCUAAUACAGAGCGGUCAUGACGGUACCGUCAGAAUAAGCACCGGCUAACUACGUGCCAGCAGCCGCGGUAAUACGUAGGGUGCAAGCGUUAAUCGGAAUUACUGGGCGUAAAGCGUGCGCAGGCGGUUAUGUAAGACAGGUGUGAAAUCCCCGGGCUCAACCUGGGAACUGCAUUUGUGACUGCAUCGCUGGAGUGCGGCAGAGGGGGAUGGAAUUCCGCGUGUAGCAGUGAAAUGCGUAGAUAUGCGGAGGAACACCGAUGGCGAAGGCAAUCCCCUGGGCCUGCACUGACGCUCAUGCACGAAAGCGUGGGGAGCAAAC